ACCCUCGUCUGAGACAGACCACGCCCACCCCGCCAGCUUCAAGCGCUCUUCCAAACAUGGCGGAGCGAACGGGGUUCAGCUCACAGCAGCACCAGCAGGUACUUUUCCAAUUAAAUUUCAUACAGACGUUAUGUUUAAUGUUAUAUUUAUUUUUUAAGUAAGUGUUUAACUCUAUUAAGAUGCUCAUGUUAGCGGGGUGUGCUAAAUAUCCAUGCUUAAAUUAUACUAGUUAGUUAGUGAACACUAACCUACCUAGUCAGUGAGUUAGCUAGUUUACCUAGGUUAUCUGGUCAGUGAGUUAGUGGGUUAGCUAAGCUAGUUAGGUUACCUAGUCAGUGAGUUAGCUAGUUAACCUUAACCAGCACUUACUUGGCUUUACCCUGGGGCAUAAUAACUAGCUUAGCUAACCCACUAACUCACUGACCAGAUGACCUAGGUAAACUAGCUAACUCACUGACUAGGUAGGUUAGUGUUCACUAACUAACUAGUAUAAUUUAAGCAUGGAUAUUUAGCACACCCCGCUAACAUGAGCAUCUUAAUAGAGUUAAACACUUACUUAAAAAAGAAAUAUAACAUUAAACAUAACGUCUGUAUGAAAUUUAAUUGGAAAAGUACCUGCUGGUGCUGCUGUGAGCUGAACCCCGUUCGCUCCGCCAUGUUUGGAAGAGCGCUUGAAGCUGGCGGGGUGGGCGUGGUCUGUCUAGACGAGGGUUCAGGGUAGGUGACCAAUAGAGAUUAAAGGGGAACGCCUUCUUCUAAGCCCCGCCCACCCGUGAAAAGUGUGCCAAAAAUCAGAACCAAAAAAAUGAAGCAGAAGCAAAGGAGAGAUUCCAGAAGCAAAAGUCUUUAGCAGCAAAAUCCACAAAAAUCCACAGAAAAUCCAAAAAAAAUCCAAAAAUGAAAGCAAAGACUGGCAAAAUCCAAACUAAAAUAAUUUUCAAAUAAGUGCAAAGAAUAAUAAAAUAACCAAGUAUAUUUAAAUAUAUAUAUUUGAUAUAUAUUUUUCUCUUUUGAAUUUGCAACAUACAUGUUUUACUUUUGAUUCUUAAAAUUUUGAUUGUGGAUUUUAUUUUUUUACGUAAAACUUUUGGCACAAAAUUCACUCCAUAAGGAAGGGGGUGGGAACAACAGAGGGUGUGCCACAGGUAACAGCCACCUGGCCUAAACAUAGCCCCAGAUUUGUCGGAUGUCUGCAGACUCUGGGGAAACCACUUCACAUCAUGCUUUGCCUUCUAAAUAGUCAAAACUAAUUCCAUCUUCCUCCGAGUUACUGACUGCCCACCUGUCUGACCCGAUACCGAUGGAUGUUGGACCCUCAGGCUCUCAUGUCCUCUGUCUGGCCAGACUGGAAGUUUCUGAAGUCAGCUCUUCUCCAUCCACCACCACAGAUCAGCUGCUCAUCAUCCAUCUUACUCUAUAAGCCAUUAGUGGAGCUGCUAUACACCUGAAUAUAUAAAACCUAUGUGGAUGUAUGAAAGACUUUUUAAAAUUAAUUUAAAAGCCAUUUGACCAGUGGUAGGAUGGUCCCCCCUUUAAUGUGAGUCUUGGUCCUCCCAAGGUUUCUUCCUCCUCCUGCAGCUCUGAGGGAGUUUUUCCUUGCCUCCGCGCUCACUGGGGGUUCUGUAUUAUGUAUUUUCUAUGUUUAAUCUUUUGCCUGACUCUUUGUCCUGUAAUCAUGUUUUUGUAAAGCUGCUUUGUGCCAACACCAGUUGUAAAAAGCGCUAUAAAAAUAAAUUUGAUUUGAUUUGA